UACAGAGGGUGCAAGCGUUUAAUCGGAAUUACUGGGCGUAAAGCGUGCGUAGUCGGUUAUCUAAGUCGGGUGUGAAAUCCCCGGGCUCAACCUGGGAAUUGCAUUCGAUACUGGAUAGCUAGAGUUCGGCAGAGGGAAGCGGAAUUUCCGGUGUAGCGGUGAAAUGCGUAGAUAUCGGAAGGAACAUCAGUGGCGAAAGCGGCUUCCUGGACCAGAACUGACGAUCAGGCACGAAAGCGUGGGGAGCAAACAGG
rnacentral:rRNA from 1 species